rnacentral:rRNA from 1 species
ACGAGCACUUGUUCUUAGCGACAAAUGGGUGAGUAACACGUACUUAAUCUACCCCCAAGUUUGGGAUAACAGUUGGAAACUAUUGCUAAUACCAAAUACAUAUAAGUUUUGCAUAAUUCUUAUAUAAAAGGAGCGUUUGUUUCGCUAGGGGAUGAGAGUGCGCUACAUUAGUUAGUUGGUAGGGUAAGAGCCUACCAAGACUAUGAUGUAUAGCGGGGCUGAGAAGCUGAACCGCCACACUGGGACUGAGAUACGGCCCAGACUCCUACGGGAGGCAGCAGUAGGGAAUAUUCCACAAUGAGCGAAAGCUUGAUGGAGCAACACAGCGUGCAGGAAGACGACCUUAGGGUUGUAAACUGCUGUUAUGAGGGAAGAAAAAUAAAAUUAGGAAAUGAAUUUUACAUGACGGUACCUCAUCAGAAAGCACCGGCAAACUAUGUGCCAGCAGCCGCGGUAAUACAUAGGGUGCAAGCGUUAUCCGGAAUUAUUGGGCGUAAAGUGUCUGUAGGUGGUAUGUUAAGUCUAGUGUUAAA